UGCAUGCUUUUACAGUAUGAAAAUUGGUGAUUUAUAAUAACUUAGCAAAUCGCAUAGUGAAAACAGGCGAUAAAUCAUUCAAGUUUCUGACCUAUCAGCUUUCGACGGUAUGGUAUUGGCUUACCGUGGCAGUGACGGUUAACGGGGGAUUAGGGUUCGAUUCCGGAGAGGGAGCCUGAGAAACGGCUACCACAUCUAAGGAAGGCAGCAGGCGCGCAAAUUACCCAAUUCUAACAGUUUGAGAGAGGUAGUAACAAGAAAUAACAAUACAAGGCAGUUAAAAUGCUUUGUAAUUGGAAUGAUAGAAAUUUAAACCCUUUUUAAAGUAUCAAUUGGAGGGCAAGUCUGGUGCCAGCAGCCGCGGUAAUUCCAGCUCCAAUAGCGUAUAUUAAAAUUGUUGCAGUUAAAAAGCUCGUAGUUGAAGUUCUGCUAAAAGUAACCGGUCUGCUUUGAAUAAAAGUGGUAUCUUGGUAUGUAUUUAGCAAUGAUGUCCUUUGAAGUGUUUUUUACUUUAUUGUAAUAAAGCAUAUUCAGGACUUUUACUUUGAGAAAAUUAGAGUGUUUCUAGCAGGCCAACGCUUUGAAUACUGCAGCAUGGAAAUAAUAAG
rnacentral:rRNA from 1 species